rfam:Triticum aestivum genome assembly, contig: Triticum_aestivum_CS42_TGACv1_scaffold_321239_4BL
AAUAUACUCCCUCCGUCCUAAAUUACUUGUCACUGAAAUAGAUAAAAUUGAGUAUAUCUAGAACUAAAAUACAUCUAGAUACAGCAAUUUCUUUGACAAGUAUUUCAGGACGUAGGGAGUAUGUU